UGAGCGCGAUGUAGGGCAUACCCUUUCUCUUCACUCUACAAAGCCAGACGUCCGACACUUCUUACCCUGCUCUCUCUCUCUGCAGGGCUCUUCGAUUCUUGGCUGCAAUGGACCACCCACCCCUAGUGCGUGCCCUCGGCCUCCGUGGCUCCGUCGGUGUCUUCUCCUCUCCCAAGCUCAUCCCACAUCCUCUCCUCUCUACGACCAACCUAAUCCUCCCAAAGCCGUUUAAUCUCCGCCGCCUACUUCAACUUCCUGACGAGGGACCGUGUCAUCGACUUCGGCAAGCAGCGUGGCCGAAUGCUUUGAUCCCCCCUCCUCUUACCUAUCCUGCAUCUCCAACAACCUCCUGCACGAUCAUUCCUACCAAUUUGCCCUAUCAGGUCAAGAAAAGAGGCGCUAGAAAGGCUUGAUACACGAGAAUGCUAUUAGCUACACCCUCCAACCAUCUGCCGGCGGACUCGACGUCCAGCCUGUAGCUCAACACCGACCUGUUCCUAUUCCAGCAACCGCCAUCGCCUGUCAGCCACCGCACACCCACACUUCUAUCGCAACUUCCUCCCUCACAAACCAUCAACCCAGCUGGGACCGUCCUCAUCCCUCGUUGCCUAUCCGUAAAUCGAGCAAGUGCUCGUGAAACGGUCUCCGCCAACAGCUGCCUGCAUCUGCUAAAUCGUACACACUCCACGAUGAUUUACUCCAUCGCCAUCGUCAUCGCCACCCUUUUCCUUGUCACUACCAUUACCUAUAUCGCCUACUUAGUCUGAAAUUACUCGAUUGUUGUCCCUCCCCUUCAACCCGAACACAAUGCCGAGAUGGAGAUGGACAACACUUUGCUCAGGAUUUGGCCUACACUCACCUAUGUUGAAGCCAAGAGUCAACGCCAAUUGCUGUUCUAUCUGUCUUGUCGACUAUGAGGAGAAUGAGGGGGAGGACACAACAUUGAGGCUUCUGCCAGAGUGUAGGCAUUUAUUUCAUUCACCUUGUGUGGAUCUUUGGCUACGGCGGCGACGAAAUUGUCCAGUGUGCAGGUCGUUGGUGGUGAAUUGGGCUAUGUAGUCGCCUACAUCAGAGGUGAUUCCAAUUGAGAUUGAACAGGGAUGUAAAUCUUAAAUACAGGACCUUGAAGGAGAAAAUGGAAGGGGUCUAACAAGAAGCUGGAAGCAAAAUUUUAUGGUAAUAUGUUUGCUAAGAAGAAGAGGAUGGAACCUGCUGCGGAAUUCAAUGUAAGUUGUGCUUUCCAUUUAACAAUUUUUGUUGGUUAUUUUAAUUGUUAAAUUUAUUGUAUUUGCAUUGGAUGUGCGUAUAAAAAAUUGUAGAUAUCUGAAGAAUAGAAGUUGCUGGAAAUCGAACCAAUGAGCGUAGGCAGUUUUACUUGAUAUUUUCUAAUUGUUGAAAUCAAUAAAAAAUGACAGAAAGAAAGAUUGCAUACGCCAA